GGCCAAAAUUUGGAGUAGAGUAGAAUAGAAGGAUGAUCUGACCCUACUCAUCUACUCUACUUCGAGUUUUGGCCC
rfam:Haemonchus contortus, ISE/inbred ISE, WGS project CAVP01000000 data, contig: Hcontortus_6216